AAAAAAAGUGCUUUGCUCAGAUCUGCUCCAGCAACCCUCUAGCAUGAUACGAGCAUGGGAUAGAUUUGGCAGUGGAGCUUAUGGAGCCUCAAGGUGUUGUAAGAAAGGUAAGAUUCGCUGGACCCACAAAGGAAUUGAUGUCAUGUGCUCUGCUGGUUCGAAGGUGUACCCACCAUUUCCCGCCAAAAGUCUUCCAUUCGCACAGACCGUACUUGAAAAGCAAGAGACCGCAUAACGUUGGGAUUCACCUUCUAGGAACUGGAGCAUGGAAAGGUUAUGGCGUUAAGUUGUUUUACGUAAAGAAGGGAGUUUACAAUGGACGUUACGUUUCUGCCGGGACUUUCAUUGGUUACAUGACCAACAUGGCGCCUGAGUACGGCUUCGGUAUGACCAAUAACGUUCACGUACAGGUUGAUAAGAAAGGAGUGAUAGUAAACCCAGC